AUUGAACGCUGGCGGCAGGCCUAACACAUGCAAGUCGAACGAGUGGCGGACGGGUGAGUAAUGUCUGGGAAACCGCCUGAUGGAGGGGGAUAACUACUGGAAACGGUAGCUAAUACCGCAUACUAUCAGAUGUGCCCAGAUGGGAUUGUCUUGUUGGUGGGGUAAGGGCUCACCAAGGCGACGAGCCCUAGCUGGUCUGAGAGGAUGCCAGGCCACACGGGAACUGAGACACGGUCCAGACUCCUACGGGGGGAAGCAGUGGGAAAUAUUGCACAAUGGGCGCAGGCCUGAUGCAGCCAUGCCGGGUGUAUGAAGAAGGCCUUCGGGUUGUAAAGUACUUUCAGCGGGGAGGCGUUACCCGCAGAAGAGGCACCGGCUAACCCCGUGCCAGCGGCCGCGGUAAUC
rnacentral:rRNA from 1 species